GAGGGUAUAGCUCAGUGGUAGAGUGCCUGUCUAGCAUGCCCAAGGUCCGCCGAAGGUCCGCCCAAGGUCCUGGGUUCAAUCCCUAGUGCCUCCA
rnacentral:tRNA from 1 species